CAGGGUUCUAUUCCGGAGAGGGAGCCUGAGAAACGGCUACCACAUCCAAGGAAGGCAGCAGGCGCGCAAAUUACCCACUCCCGGCACGGGGAGGUAGUGACGAAAAAUAACGAUACGGGACUCAUCCGAGGCCCCGUAAUCGGAAUGAGUAUACUCUAAAUCCUUAUACGAGUAUCGAUUGGAGGGCAAGUCUGGUGCCAGCAGCCGCGGUAAUUCCAGCUCCAAUAGCGUAUAUUAAAGUUGUUGCGGUUAAAAAGCUCGUAGUUGGAUCUGUGUCCCGCGCCGCCGGUUCGCCGCCUGUCGGUGUUAAACUGGCGUGUACGCGGGACGUCCUGUCGGUGGUGGUUCGCGCUACGUCGGCCGUAAGGUGUGUCCGGAGCAUCCGCUUACGGCACCCCCAAAGUCGGCGUGCGAUCACGGCCACCUCAUCAAUCCCGCCGCGGUGCUCUUCACCGGGUGUCGUGGCGGGCCGCCACGUUUACUUUGAACAAAUUAGAGUGCUUCAAGCAGGCAUACUUACGCCUGCAUACUGUGUGCAUGGAAUAAUGGAAAAGGACCUCGGUUCUAUUUUGUUGGUUUUCGGAACCUGAGGUAAUGAUCAAUGGAGACGGGCGGGGGCAUUCGUAUUGCGACGUUAGAGGUGAAAUUCUUGGAUCGUCGCAAGACGGACCGAAGCGAACGCAUUUGCCAAGUACGUUCUCGUCGAUCAAGAACGAAAGUUAGAGGUUCGAAGGCGAUCAGAUACCGCCCUAGUUCUAACCAUAAACUAUGCCUGCCAGCGAUCCGCCGGCGUUCCUCCGAUGACCCGGCGGGCAGCUUCCGGGAAACCAGAGCCUUUGGGUUCCGGGGGAAGUAUGGUUGCAAAGCUGAAACUUAAAGGAAUUGACGGAAGGGCACCACCAGGAGUGGAGCCUGCGGCUUAAUUUGACUCAACACGGGAAAACUCACCAGGCCCGGACACCGGAAGGAUUGACAGAUUGAGAGCUCUUUCUUGAUUCGGUGGGUGGUGGUGCAUGGCCGUUCUUAGUUGGUGGAGCGAUUUGUCUGGUUAAUUCCGAUAACGAACGAGACUCUAGCCUACUAACUAGACGUAUCCGGUAUCCAAUAUCGUGCUACCGGCGAUCAAAUCUCUUCUUAGAGGGACAGGCGGCUUCUAGCCGCACGAGACUGAGCAAUAACAGGUCUGUGAUGCCCUUAGAUGUCCUGGGCCGCACGCGCGCUACACUGAACGAGACAGCGUGUCUUCCCUGUCCGAAAGGACCGGGUAACCCGCUGAACCUCAUUCGUGCUAGGGAUUGGGGCUUGCAAUUGUUCCCCAUGAACGAGGAAUUCCCAGUAAGCGCGAGUCAUAAGCUCGCGU
rnacentral:rRNA from 1 species